rnacentral:lncRNA from 1 species
GGAGCACUAUAUUGUAUGUUAACCACUGACGGUAGGUAUAGCCAAAUACUGUUGAUAGACGGUAUAUAGGAGCACUAUAUCUUAUGUUAACCACCGACGGUAGGUAUAAGACAAAUACUGGUGAUAGACGGUAUAUAGGAGCACUAUAUUGUAUGUUAACCACCGACGGUAGGUAUAAACAAAUACUGUUGAUAGACGGUAUAUAGGAGCACUAUAUUGUAUGUUAACCACCGACGGUAGGUAUAGACAAAUACUGUUGAUACGGUUAAAGGAGCACUAUAUUGUAUGUUAACCACCGACGGUAGGUAUAGACAAAUAUGUUGAUAGACGGUAUAUAGGAGCACUAUAUUGUAUUUAACUACCGACUAGUAGACAAUACUGUUGAUAGACGUAUAUAGGAGCACUAUAUUGUAUGUUAAACCACCGACGGUAGGUAUAGACAAAUACUGUUGAUAGACGGUAUAUAGGAGCACUAUAUUGUAUGUUAACUACCGACAGUAGGUAUAGACAAAUACUGUUGAUAGACGGUAUAUAGGAGCACUAUAUUGUAUGUUAACUACCGACAGUAGGUAUAGACAAAUACUGUUGAUAGACGGUAUAUAUAGGAGCACUAUAUUGUAUGUUAACCACCGACGGUAGGUAUAGACAAAUACUGUUGAUAGACGGUAUAUAGGAGCACUAUAUUGUAUGUUAACUACCGACAGUAGGUAUAGACAAAUACUGUUGAUAGACGGUAUAUAGGAGCACUAUAUUGUAUGUUAACCACCGACGGUAGGUAUAGACAAAUACUGUUGAUAGACGGUAUAUAGGAGCACUAUAUUGUAUGUUAACUACCGACGGUAGGUAUAGACAAAUACUGUUGAUAGACGGUAUAUAGGAGCACUAUAUUGUAUGUUAACUACCGACGGUAGGUAUAGACAAAUACUGUUGAUAGACGGUAUAUAGGGAGCACUUAUAUUGUAUGUUAACCACCGACGGUAGGUAUAGACAUAUACUGUUGAUAGAUGGUAUAUAGGAGCACUAUAUUGUAUGUUAACUACCGACGGUAGGUAUAGACAAAUACUGUUGAUAGACGGUAUAUAGGAGCACUAUAUUGUAUGUUAACUACCGACAGUAGGUAUAGACAAAUACUGUUGAUAGACGGUAUAUAGGAGGCACUAUAUUGUAUGUUAACCACCGACGGUAGGUAUAGACAAAUACUGUUGAUAGACGGUAUAUACAUGUAGGAGCACUAUAUUGUAUGUUAACCACCGACGGUAGGUAUAGACAAAUACUGUUGAUAGACGGUAUAUAGGAGCACUAUAUUGUAUGUUAACUACCGACAGUAGGUAUAGACAAAUACUGUUGAUAGACGGUAUAUAGGAGCACUAUAUUGUAUGUUAACUACCGACGGUAGGUAUAGACAUAUACUGUUGAUAGAUGGUAUAUAGGAGCACUAUAUUGUAUGUUAACUACCGACAGUAGGUAUAGACAAAUACUGUUGAUAGACGGUAUAUAGGAGCACUAUAUUGUAUGUUAACCACCGACGGUAGGUAUAGACAAAUACUGUUGAUAGACGGUAUAUAGGAGCACUAUAUUGUAUGUUAACCACUGACGGUAGGUAUAGACAAAUACUGUUGAUAGACGGUAUAUAGGAGCACUAUAUUUAUGUUAACCACCGACGGUAGGUAUAGACAAAUACUGGUGAUAGACGGUAUAUAGGAGCAACUACCGACAGUAGGUAUAGACAAAUACUGUUGAUAGACGGUAUCAAAGAGCACUAUAUUGUAUGUUAACCAGCGACGGUAGGUAUAGACAAAUACUGUUGAUAGACGGUAUAUAGGAGCACUAUAUUGUAUGUUAACUACCGACAGUAGGUAUAGACAAAUACUGUUGAUAGACGGUA